UUGUUCCUGUUUCGAUGUGUUUAUUUUAAUAAUGUCAAUUGAUUUGUAGCUUCUUGGACAGUUCAGCUCUAAAUGGGUUCCUUUUAGAAAACUGGAGAUGUGGUUUUCAGGCACAUAUUGGCUUCUAUGGUUGUUGUCUGUAUAAUCUUGUUGCACUUUUUUUUUUCUUAGAAAUUCCAGCGUUGUUGGUGGACGUGAGAAAGCUUGUCUCCAUCAACAAUGCCACCAACAAAGAUGUUGUCGACCGCCCCACCAAAGAUGUUGAUGACCCUGAUGCUGAGAGUGACGGCCCAGGUGAAACGUCACUUUGCACACCUUGCAGACCUUCACAAGUGAAAAUCGGGAAUGAUGGAACAGUCCCUGUCUCGUCACAUUGUUGGGAGACUGCAAAAGCUAGUACCACCCCCAAUGGGAUGGCACGGGUGCUACUGAUGGGGCUCUUCAGUGUAGAUGUCCUCCUCAAGUCCAACCUGAAAGGAGGAGUCAGCAAGCUAGAUCCCACUGCUGAUCGUCGGCAGGCUCUCGACCCGAGGAAACUUCAAGCUUUACUAGAUGCUGUUGUAAACCAGUUUCCAACGGCCAAGGAAGCUGAUGUCAGAAAAUCCAUCAACAGUAGAAUCUGCGAGCUAAGACACCAGGUGAAGUGCAAAAGUGUGGUCGUUUAAAUCAGCGAAGAACCAAAAUGGACUCCUAACCAGGAUAACGCACUGUUCUUUUGGCAUAUUUCUUUGCACAGUUCCACAGUUUUAAUUUAUUUAUAAUUAUUUUUGUUUUGAUUUUUCUUUAUAGAAAUUUUAUUUAUAUUUUAUAACAGCACUGCUGAAUGUUUAAAAUAGACAUUGGUCAUUGAAAUUGCUUUAAUUUAUAAUUUAUAUUUUUCUGUUCAAUGGUACCGUUUAAAAAUGUUGCACUGUUACAUUUAUCUGACCAUAUGCAAGGCCUCUUGUGGUUUUAAUACUGGUAGGCCUGUGUAGCUCUUUAUUAUC